GAAAGAGCAAUUUAGGAGCAGAAAUAUUCAGCUCAUCGCCUACAAAAACAGCAUCUCUCAGAAUAAUGUGACUUAUUCUUCAGCCCAAAAACAAACCGGAUGAGCAGGAUGAAAAGAUGAUGAAUGAAGCCUGUGGUAAAAAAGAACUGCUUCUUCCAGCCGCCCACACAUGUUGUGUAACAUGAAGUGUCACAAGUGCCAACAGGAAGAGGAUUUGUGCUUCAUUCACCGCUCCACUGGACAUCUAUGACCUCCUUCACUCCUGCUGUUAACAUCCGUUUUGGGCAACACAGGCUUACUGGAAAAACGUGACUGGCUACAUUUCUGCAAAACUCCAAAAACAUUCCUAUACAUACAGUACUGUACAAUCCACUGCAGUUUCCAGCUGAAAUGAACACUAGUGGCAGUUAGACACUAACAACUGUUGUUGCUUUUCACACGAACCACUGUUACAGGAUCAGGUGAUCAAUUCAUAAAGACUUGUUUUUGUGUGGUUUCUUGCACAGUACUAUGUUACGAGCUCAAAACACUUUUAUCAUAUAGUGCAUGAUUUGUAAACUAAUACAUUUUGUCAUUCGUGUCAUAACCAGCUCCAUAUGUGUGGCUUUUCUGAUGUCGUAAACUUGCUCAUUAGCGCACCCGGUACAGCAUUACACAUCACUGGUACGAGUCACAUGAAACACAAAUCACGAUAAAAGAGAUCAAAGACCUUUCCUUACAUCUGGCUGGCAAACUGAAGUUCCCACACAUUAUCAAGCAUCUCACGCUAUUUCCAUGCAAUUUUCAGAAGUGUUAGAUUUCACAGCUUUGACGUGAGGUUUGGGUCGUCGGUGUCAUGCAUGGUGUCUGUGGAUGGAGGUCAGGGGUCGUGCGUCAUGCACUGUUAGCGGUCCAUGGGAGCUCAGCUGUUCUUCAGGACUCCUCGACAUUGCUCUAAUUCUGGCCAGUUAACACCUGUUGGGCUGCUGCUGCCAACCCGAGUCUUAAUGGUGUGUUGAGGCGGUACAGCGAAGAGCUUGUGAGCGGGCUGCUCGAUGUGCCGAAGACACUGCUGGGCUAUUAAUAGUGUCUCAGUGCACAACACAGCCUGAGCCACCACAAAAACCAGAGCUUGAGCGCUGUGUGCUCUUCACAUGGACAUUUUCAUCUCCGUCAUCUACUGUCACCAUGCCCUUAUACGUGG
ensembl:lncRNA